rnacentral:lncRNA from 7 species
GUACUUUUAUUGGUGAAACUCAUUUUGCUAGGAAAACUAGUGACAGCUGUGCUAAUGAGAUAACUCUUAUUAAUUCCUUGCUUACAUGGGAAGGAACUCACCCAGUCUAGAUAAAAUUAUAGUCUUAACUCAGCAAACUUUUUAAAUGCGAAAGCCAAAAGGAGGCCCGACUAGAAGUGGAGGCAUGGGAAAUCUCCUUGGAGCUGGGCCCAUGAGCUAUUUUACAAAACAAGUGGUCUCACCCAUGCAACGCAACCAAAUUAAUUGGAACGAUUGAGACGAACCAAAGCAAAGCCUGAAGUGGAACCCACUGCCAUCAUUUCAAGACCUUUUAUUUCAAGUAACCACGUGGGGAACAUGAUGGUGAUUGCGGCCAGUGUGGAGUGGUUGCCUUCGUCCAACAUGGGCGGAGUGCUGCUGAGCCUGCAGGGCUGAGCCAAAGCUGCUACAGAGACUUCCCAGGCGAUGUCUGAUUGGAAAACUUUGAAUAUGGUCUCCUAUCAUGAGUUAUUACUGCUCCUGAAUGUACAGCACUUAGGAAUACAAAUGGUGGUCUCUGCAGCACAUUUAAAUGGGCUGUGUGUUGUCUGUCCUUUCUCACGUUGUGGAAUGUGUUCCUAUGGGUUCCUCUGUUGGAGAAGCGUGACAUCAUUUUUCAGACAGAAUCGGUGAGGCUUUAAGUUCAGAUACCCGACAGGUGAACAGCCAGACCUGUGGAAUCCUUGGGGUUAGAAGGGACCUCUGAAGCUCGCCUAGUCCAGCUCACCUGCACUGAACAGCAACAUGCACGGCUAGGCCAGGAAACGUGGUUGAGACUUCACAUCUUCAGGCUUUCUCAAAUGUGAAGAACUUUCUUAAUGCCUAUCGAAAUUUGGGAUUCUUUGUAACCGAAUAAUUCCUGGAGGCUGAGCUGUAAAGAAAACACGGGCUGCUCGAACACAUUCUCCAGAAUUCUAAAAAUGCAAAACAAUUAUUGUUGGCUUCAAAGAGUUACUCAGAGUAAAGAACAGCUUUAUCUACAUCUGAUCUUCAGGGGGGGGGGAAAAAAAAAGCAUAUGGGCCUGGAAACAUCCCAGCCUCUCAGACAGCACUGAUAUUCUCCUAAUGCAGCUACCAGGCCAGGUGUACUUCAGUGUGAGGGCUGUGCGGUGGCCUUCAGCAGGUCUUUUGAAGCUGCCCUCCUGCUGCGUUUUGGUUAUAGGGCAGAGGUUUAUGAGUGUACGGUCGCUAACCACGGAGUGUUCAUACGUUUAAGCUUCAUCACCAAAUCAGGCCAUAGGUGUAUAAAGACGGCCUUCUGAGGAGCAGCGUGGGUUUUAUCUGCUCGCUUGUUGUUUGCUUGGAGGGCAGUCUUCAGCUGGAGCUGCCAAACCCUCUUGUGUUGUAAUUAAACGGUACAUUUGGAGC